UGCAGCGCGAAUGAAGGGGGCCCCCCAAACCCUCUUAGGGCGGGGGCCCCCCGAUAUGCUGCUGCA
rfam:Eimeria brunetti, Houghton, WGS project CBTX01000000 data, contig: Ebh_contig365_10